CAGCUGUGAUGAGAAUUAUUGGCAAUAAUGGAAAAAAACCUAUAAAAAAGCUUACCUGUAACAAGAAGUUUUGUCCCAGAUCCAAAAGCAUAAGCUCUUCCCGAGCUUGUUUCCCACUGUCCCAAAUUGCAUGACAAAAAUACAUUACGACAAAGGCCCAGAGAAAUAUAACCCAAUCUGGGAAUUUACGGGACAAAACAAAUUUUGGAAUAAAACCAAGCAUAGUUUAUGGGGUCAUACAGUUGAUGAUGCAUUAAAUUUACAUUUAAAUUUAAUUUAGCAGAUGCACAUCUCACGUGUCACGUGAAGCAUUAAUGUUCACAUAUCUUAAUGUAUGUAUCUUAAUAAAACAGUGAUGCCGCGGUGAUUUGCUUUAGAGCUAUGGAAGACAUCAGGAUGUUAUCUUACUUUGUCCCAAAGAAUUUACAGUGUCCUGUUCUAGUCCUGCAGGUGUGAAAUGGGUUUUCACUUUAUUAGUAUAUCUUCAUUAGCACAAUAAUUAACUCCAUCCCUUACCAUAAACGGUGAUGCAGUCAUUUACACAACGAAGAUACGUAUUUACUGACCUGUCUGAAUCUAAUUUCUGCUUUAAUUGUAUUUUCAGCAUUACUAAUAAUCACAUUUUUUGGGCUGAAUAUUUUAUCUGCCACUAUGAAAUGUCACUUUCAAGCUCUGCUACAUCCCAGUGCUAUUUAUAAAUGCUCAGUAACAACUCAGGAGCUUAUUGAGAUUUAAAAUAUAAGAACACCAUAGUGAAGAAGAACAGGCGCAAGAAGGUACCUACUGGUCACGAUGAGUUGGGUCCCGGAGCCGAAAACUUUAAACCUAUCACCCGAGCUAGUGGUAAUCCCAGCAGGCGCAGUAAUAGGUGGCCGCAUGCUCCUCUUUCACUACGCUGAUCUUCAGAUUAAAGACGUCACUGGAAAAGUCAUCUUUUUGAGGAUGACUGUUGUCAAGUGUGAAUGAUUUACUGCCAUAGUUAAUGUAGAGGAUCCUUUUGAAAGGUUCUCCUUCUUUCUUCUGGUACCAGUGGACAAACUCAUUUGACUGCAGCCCAGAAGCACUGCAGGGAAUGGAAACAGUUUUCCCUUUGCUUUUUG
rnacentral:lncRNA from 1 species